rnacentral:rRNA from 1 species
GACGAACGCUGGCGGCGUGCUUAACACAUGCAAGUCGAACGGAAAGGCCCUGCUUUUGUGGGGUGCUCGAGUGGCGAACGGGUGAGUAACACGUGAGUAACCUGCCCUUGACUUUGGGAUAACUUCAGGAAACUGGGGCUAAUACCGGAUAGGAGCUCCUGCUGCAUGGUGGGGGUUGGAAAGUUUCGGCGGUUGGGGAUGGACUCGCGGCUUAUCAGCUUGUUGGUGGGGUAGUGGCUUACCAAGGCUUUGACGGGUAGCCGGCCUGAGGGGGUGACCGGCCACAUUGGGACUGAGAUACGGCCCAGACUCCUACGGGAGGCAGCAGUGGGGAAUAUUGCACAAUGGGCGGAAGCCUGAUGCAGCAACGCCGCGUGCGGGAUGACGGCCUUCGGGUUGUAAACCGCUUUCGCCUGUAACGAAGCGUGAGUGACGGUAAUGGGUAAAGAAGCACCGGCUAACUACGUG